rnacentral:rRNA from 1 species
GCAACUCGACUGCGUGAAGUCGGAAUCGCUGGUAAUCGCGGAUCAGCAUGCCGCGGUGAAUACGUUCCCGGGCCUUGUACACACCGCCCGUCACACCAUGAGAGUCGGGAACACCCGAAGCCCGUAGCCUAACAGCAAUGAGGGCGCGGUCGAAGGUGGGUUCGAUAAUUGGGGUGAAGUCGUAACAAGGUAUC